AGAGUUUGAUCCUGGCUCAGGACGAACGCUGGCGGCGUGCCUAAUACAUGCAAGUCGAGCGAACUGAUAAGGAGCUUGCUCCUUUGACGUUAGCGGCGGACGGGUGAGUAACACGUGGGCAACCUACCUGUAAGACUGGGAUAACUUCGGGAAACCGGAGCUAAUACCGGAUGAAUCUUUUCUUCGCAUGAAGAAGAGAUAAAAGAUGGUUUCGGCUAUCACUUACAGAUGGGCCCGCGGCGCAUUAGCUAGUUGGUGAGGUAAGAGCUCACCAAGGCGACGAUGCGUAGCCGACCUGAGAGGGUGAUCGGCCACACUGGGACUGAGACACGGCCCAGACUCCUACGGGAGGCAGCAGUAGGGAAUCUUCCGCAAUGGACGAAAGUCUGACGGAGCAACGCCGCGUGAACGAUGAAGGCCUUCGGGUCGUAAAGUUCUGUUGUCAGGGAAGAACAAGUACCGGAGUAACUGCCGGUACCUUGACGGUACCUGACCAGAAAGCCACGGCUAACUACGUGCCAGCAGCCGCGGUAAUACGUAGGUGGCAAGCGUUGUCCGGAAUUAUUGGGCGUAAAGCGCGCGCAGGCGGUUCCUUAAGUCUGAUGUGAAAGCCCCCGGCUCAACCGGGGAGGGUCAUUGGAAACUGGGGAACUUGAGUGCAGAAGAGGAGAGCGGAAUUCCACGUGUAGCGGUGAAAUGCGUAGAGAUGUGGAGGAACACCAGUGGCGAAGGCGGCUCUCUGGUCUGUAACUGACGCUGAGGCGCGAAAGCGUGGGGAGCGAACAGGAUUAGAUACCCUGGUAGUCCACGCCGUAACGAUGAGUGCUAAGUGUUAGAGGGUUUCCGCCCUUUAGUGCUGCAGCAAACGCAUUAAGCACUCCGCCUGGGG
rnacentral:rRNA from 1 species